rnacentral:rRNA from 1 species
CGGGGGAGCAAGCGUUGUUCGGAUUUACUGGGCGCAAAGGGCGCGUAGGCGGCGCAACAAGUCACUUGUGAAAUCUCCGGGCUUAACCCGGAGCGGCCAAGUGAUACUGUCGUGCUAGAGUGCGGAAGGGGCUACUGGAAUUCUCGGUGUAGCGGUGAAAUGCGUAGAUAUCGAGAGGAACACCUGUGGCGAAGGCGGGUAGCUGGGCCGACACUGACGCUGAGGCGCGAAAGCUAGGGGAGCGAACGGGAUUAGAUACCCCGGUAGUCCUAGCCUUAAACGAUGGAUGCUUGGUGGUCCGGGGUUACAUACGGUCCCCGGGUGCCGUCGCUAACGCAUUAAGCACUCCCGCCGUGGGGAGUACGGUCGCAAGACUG